rnacentral:tRNA from 1 species
AAAAAGUUAGUUAUAAACAUAACAUUAAAUUGUCAAUUUAAAAUUACUAUAUUAUAGUACUUUUUG